ensembl:lncRNA
GCAUUCCCUCUAGGAGUCUCUAGGAGAUCAUUGCCAAGAAAUGGUCCAAUCCCCUUUCCCGAGAGGAAACACCGUAUGCUUCACAUGUCAUAAGAGCAUACCCAUGUGACCAAUGAGGAAAAGGCCAAGGUGAGGUGAUAUGUGCUGCUGCGAGAGGAAACAAGAUAAUAAAGUUCCAUACAUGCCUGAAUCCAGUAUUUGAGCAUGGAUUGUUGUUGGGAGAGGUUUAUGAUUCAGGACAUGGACAACCUGAGAGAUGGAGGAGGUGCUCUACAUCUUGUUCAACCUUGGUGCAUCGUGAGUCAGUAUUUCAAAAAGUGUAGGGCAACAGUGCCAUCAUGUGUCUGACAGUGUUUUUUUUGUUCAGGUGGUGAAAAUAAAUUUUGAGCACUCAAGAAGAACAGGAAAUCGGAGGUCUACUCAGACAAGAGGACAGAGCUGUUGCCAGACUGUAACUAAAUUCUUAAAAUGCACCAGAAAGUCAAGAAUCCAACUCAAACCAACCCCAAAUAACACCUGUGUUCUGCUUUGUUUCAAUAUAUGGAUCCUCCAUUGCCCAAAAUACAAAUGAUAGCCUUCUCUAAAAUCAAAAGAAAUUAUGAUUUAAUAAGGCAGAAAUAUAUUAUAUAUAUAUAUUAUACAGAAUUAUACAGAAUUUGGGUAAAUAUCUCAAUGGAUCAGAUAACAAUUGCUGUACGGUCAAAUUUCUUUCUAAAGAAGAUAAGGAAAAUCAGCGCUUACUGGAUUAUACUGAGAGGUGUACAUUUAAUUUUUAUUCAUAUUGGAUGGAAACACAGUCGCCUCACAGCUAGAAGGUCCUGGCUUCGAUUCCGCCCAGUGGCCUUUCUGUGUGGAGUCUGCAUGUUCUCCCCGUGUCUGCGUGGGUUCUCUCCGGGUUCUCUGCCUUCCUCCCACAGUCCAAAGACAUGCUCUGGGGAUCAGGUUGAUUGGGGACUCUAAAUUGCCUGUAUGUGUGAAUGUUGUCAUUAAUGCUCAAACUCAUAGUAUUUAAUAUCUAUAAAACAUUGAUCGAUAAGGCUACCAUUAGAUAAAUUACAUUACAGGCCAUUUAGCUGACGCUUUUAUCCAAAGCAACUUAUAUUGCAUUUUUAACCCAUGGCUUUUACAUUUAGGAUUUAGGAUUAGUCCUACGAAAUUUUCUUGCGAGUUCACAGGAUUCCGAGUGACUAAGAACUCUAGUGGCUAUCCAGGAUUCAUAGAACCGUAGUUACAUACGUAACUUCAACUUUCAUCCUUACUGAACGCCAGAGGCCACAGUGUUCACACUGGAUGACUUUUGUCAACAGAGUCACGAGGAUUACAAGUAGCCACCUUGUAUUGCUCAGGCAGAGGAAUUGGGCCAAAUAACCCUCCCCAGUGGGUGAGGGGUGGCACCGUUCACUCUGUAGUGUUUGUGAAUGUGGUCGGUGCAGCACCUGUAUCCUUCAUAGGCAUACCUCUCAGGACUGCCCACUUAGCCAAUUAUCUAAUGCUGCGUUCACACCAAAAGCGAAGCGAGUCAGUCGCUCGAGUAGAUUCCAUUCAAAGUUAAUGCACAGACGCGACUGGAAGCCAAGCCGACACAACAGGUCAUCAAACUGACAGUACAGCAUGGCGAAAAGUUGCUUCGCUUUUGGUGUGAACGCAGCAUUACGGGUCUAAACCCAAUUUAAACGCUCAAGCUCAC